rnacentral:rRNA from 1 species
GACGAACGCUGGCGGCGUGCCUAAUACAUGCAAGUAGAACGCAGAAAAGAGGAGCUUGCUCUUCUUGGGUGAGUUGCGAACGGGCGAGUAACACGUAGAUAACCUACCUUUUAGAGGGGGAUAACUACGGGAAACGGUAGCUAAUACCGCAUAACAUUAGGAAACACAUGUCAUAUAUGUGAAAGAGGGAAUUGCUGCACUACAAGGAUGACCUGCGGUGUAUUAGCUAGUUGGUGAAGGAAACGGCCACCCAGGGGAAGAUUCCGAGCCGGCCUGAGAGGGGGAUCGGCCACACUUGGAACUGGACAACGGCCAGACUCCUACCGGAGGCAGCAGGAGGGGAUCUUCGGGAAUGGGGGCAAACCCUACCGAGCAAAGGCGGGGGAGGGAAGAAGGUUCUCGGAUCGGAAAGAUCUGUUGAUAGGGAAGAAAGAGAUUUGGAGGUGAAAGUGCACAUUGUGACGGUACCUUACCAGAAAGCGACGGCUAACUACGUG